GCCGCGGUGGCGGAAUCGGCAGACGCACAGGACUCAAAAUCCUGCGGGCGCAAGCUCAUGAGGGUUCGACCCCCUCCCGCGGCA
rnacentral:tRNA from 6 species